CGUGCCUAAUACAUGACAAGUCGAACGCAUUGUGGUUGAAAUGAUAUGAAGAACUUGUUCAGAUUUGAUUUUCAACAUUGCAAUGAGUGGCGAACGGGUGAGUAACACGUAGGGAAACCUACCUCUUAGCAGGGGAUAACAUUUGGGAACAAAUGCUAAUACCGUAUAAUAAUUAAAACCGCAUGGUUUUAGUUUAAAAGAUGGUCUUGCUAUCACUAAGAGAUGGUCCCGCGGUGUAUUAGUUAGUUGGUGAGGUAAUGGCUCACCAAGACAAUGAUACAUAGCCGAGUUGAGAGACUGACCGGCCACAAUGGGACUGAGACACGGCCCAUACUCCUACGGGAGGCAGCAGUAGGGAAUCUUCCACAAUGGACGAAAGUCUGAUGGAGCAACGCCGCGUGUGUGAUGAAGGGUUUCGGCUCGUAAAACACUGUUGUAAGAGAAGAAUGACAUUGAGAGUAACUGUUCAAUGUGUGACGGUAUCUUACCAGAAAGGAACGGCUAAAUACGUG
rnacentral:rRNA from 1 species